AUGGCUUCUCGGCCUUUUGGCUAAGAUCAAGUGUAAAAAAUAAUGACAAGAAAUAUUAGCCAGAUUGUGCUAUGUCAUUUUUAUCAGUGGCAGUUUUAUUUGUUUUUCCUAAGGUUAUCAAUAUUUGAGGCAUGCUUAAUUUUUGAUAGAGGUAGUGCUCUUCUGAGUACUACCGAGGGAAAAGUACAAAAAUUC
ensembl:snRNA U2 U2 spliceosomal RNA